rnacentral:lncRNA from 1 species
UAAUUGUGCUAGCUAAUCUAUAAAUUUUCCUUUCUCAGCCACCAGCUUGUUUACAAUUGAUUGGCACCAGAUUGCGGAGAGCAGAAUGAGCCCCUUUUUGCUCGAUUGCAUGCAGCCAGUCAACAACCACCAGGAUGCCUCUGUCUGUUCCUGAAACAAGGAAUGGAAGUUGAGUCCCCGCUCUGCACAGGCACUGUACAGGAGAGGCUUUCCCACCCGAGUGCUGUGACUUCAACCUUUCAGAGCAAUUCUGUGAAGUGGUUACUAUUAUCUCAACUGUACAGAGAAGGAAAUGGAAUCCUGGAGAGGUUCAGGUCUGAGCUUGCAGAGGUAGAAGGGAACAGAGGCCACCUGCUUCUACGCAUACACAUUUUCCUCUCCUCUGUAUAGUUUAGCACUUCAAAGCUCACUUUAUAUUAUGCUAGAAUUGUAGAAUUUAACAUGAUGGAGCUAAAAGGGACAAUGGAGUUCAUCUAACUUGACUUUAAAGAUGAGAAAACUGAGGUCUGGAGACAUUUGCUUCAAGUCACUUAUCUGGUACCAAAAUGGGAACAAUAACGUAGUUUCCCUAAAGAAGUUGAGUAAUUACAUCAAUAUUUAACCUAGAUAUCAUCUAACCUCUUGUUUUCCACACAACGUCACUGAGGAAUCUCAGAGAGGAGGGGUUCAAAGCUCAAGUGGAAGGGAUUUGCCUUGAAGAGGCAAGGGUCUAUCUGUUGUGCAUACUUGGGGACCUCUCUUUUCUCUGAAAUAGAGAGCUAGGCCAUCUGUUAAGGUUGAGGGGGAAGAAAGAUGAUGGGACGUUAGAAGAGGAUUCAAGUUUAGAUGGUCUGCUGAAGGAAUGAAAAGUGACUCCCACCAGGAAUGAAUACGGUGACUAUAAUUUGUAAUGGAGUGUUGAAGACUCACCCACACCAGCUGAGAGUGAAAGAGAGAAAUGUGAGAUGGCACCAAUCAACACGGCUCUAUACUUUCUUCAGUAGUACUCAUGGUUCUGGAGAAGAAAUAGAAAAGUCCUGGCCUCCACUGGCUUCCAAGAGGCAGGCUGAUGGGAAAUCCAAAACAUUGUUCUCUGGCCUUUCAGAGGGAUUCCAAGGAGAGUGCUGAGCAUGCUCAUCUUGCCACAAAGUGCUAUCAACAGGCCUGAGAAGAACAGAUGUGGAAAACAAAAUAAAUCUGACUUAAUAUUGUAAUGGGGGUUACAUGAAUACAAAGUAUGGAAGAAAGUAAGCAAAGCCAACAAUGACGACAGUGCCAUAGAGAAGACAGAG